rnacentral:lncRNA from 1 species
GGAAGGGUCUAACGUGGCAAAUUGAAAUUUCAUCCUGGGUAGGGACAAGCAGUGCAUAUUUUUGUUCAUAACUGAAGAUUCCUCUUCCAUGCAAGAUUAGCCUAUUCCAAGGCCCAUAGAUUAAAAGAACCCAGAUACUUGAAACAACACAAGAGGGACAGAAAACCAAAAAUUUUUAUCUGGCUGCCACUUUAGUGCCAGUUUCCGGUAUGCUUUCUUGAUGUCCUCGGGGAGGCAUGUCUCUGCACGCCUAGAACUUCAUAGUAAUCCACCAUGUUUUAACAGUUUCCUGGAACAAGUCCAAGGAUGCAGACGACCGGCGGCGCAAAGAAGAGAGAUUCAUUUUUGUGCAAUACAAAAGAAGUGAUGAUGGAUUGUGUUUUUUGAACUAUACAUAUUUUGCUGC